CAUUUAUGGACCUUGAGAUGGAGACACUGAUCAGAAUUUAUUGAAAUGGGUGAAAACAGGCCAGAUGUUGACAAAACCCAUCCCUUUUGUCCAGCUUGCCAGCUGCCUCAAUUGUGCUGGAAGAGCCCCACCUAUGGCGAUCAGUUAGACCUGAGCAUGUGAGCAAGACCCACCAACCAAGCACCUGAAAGAGCAAAUUCCCAAUACUACCGCAGACCACUGUUCAACUCCAUCCAGUGUUCCAUCUGCAGCUGUGGCCAUCUCUGAUGCUUAAGAGGAGUGGUUUUGAACCUGAGGUGCACGCACUCCCUGUGGGUGCAAGAUGCCCUUUCUGAGGAUGUGAGACAUGCCAGAUUUUUUUAGAAGGUAAAUCAUCGAAAACACAAAUUAAGCACAGGCACGGCACUGAAGCAAAACAACAGUAACAUCAACAUUACAAUGAAAAUAUGCAGCUUCUUAACGCAUGUAAAGAGAAUCAAUGAACAAUGCUGGGAGCUCAGCGUAUUCAGAUUCUUUUCUUGAUUAUAGCUGAUGAGAUGAAAAAGCAAGACUCCAGGUGUUCGACAAACAGGUUUUUUUUAAAAAACAUCCCACUGUAAACUAACUGCCUAUG